ACUGAGAGUCGACUAACACCCGAAGCCUGUGAGCUAACCUUUAGGAGGCAGCAGUCGAAGGUGGGUUGAUGAUUGGGUGAAGUCGUAACAAGGUAUC
rnacentral:rRNA from 1 species